CAAUGGACGAGCUUCGUAAGGCGAAGGGUUCCGCCUCCAGACUUACUGACCAACAGAGGAGCUCCGUCUUGCCCGGAGCUCCGCCCCUUGUUGAUCUGAGCAAUGGGCGCCCUCUCUUCAGCGCAGGACCCGCCCUCGCCGCACGCCGGGCUGCGGGCCGUACAACUCGUUCCGGUAGGCGGGUCCAGCAGAGGCCGGUGUGGUCCCAGCUCCGGCGGAGGCAGGGCCGGCCCCGCAGGAUUGGGGCGGACGGCAAGCCGGCGGCCAGGGCAGGGCGUCAGGUUGCGGAGCCGACGUCCGGGCGGCGAGAGCAGGAACGGGAUACGGGCAGACCCGGGGAUAUUCUGAGCAGGCGGACCCGGGCGCCGCCGGCUGAGCGGCGGCUCGCCCCCUUCCGGCCCAGGGCUGGUCGGCUGGGCCUCGAGCGCAGGGCGGGCUGCGUGCCGGUCUGGCACUGCUCUGCGGCCCGCGCUCGGCGUUCCGGGCCUCCCGGCCGCGGGCCCGCCCAGGGGCUGCAGGACUGGCCUCCAAGUGUGGACCUAACAGCGCCCUGUAGCCGUUUGAAGCGCUGACAUCUGCGAAGGGCUUUGUAUUGCAAACUCAGUCAGAGCGCGUCGUAGUUCCGGAAGCGCUUUGACAUCCCCGAAGUAGCGCUGUGCAAACUGAAGCUCUUGGUAAUCGCGGAAGCACGUUGUGGGCUCGGAAACCUAAUCGAAGGAAACCUUUAGUAAAUCCUGGGACCUUCUGGACUUCGGAGCGCUUUGCUAUCGCCGACAUAGGAAGCGCUUUAGCGUCUCUGAAACCUUGAGAACUGUGAUGGGCAGUGGAAAAAGGGAAAGGUGCCCAUGGCGUCGGAGCGGCGCAAGGUCAAGUACCACUGGAGCAGCACUUCGGAUCGGAGUUCCCGCAAGCGCAGCUGCCUCCGGGAGCCCAGUGAUGUGGCCCCCUCCAGCCGCCCAGCUCACAGCUCUGUGUCGCGUUCAGGAGGGGCCAGCAGCCCCAAGCGCCUGAAAGCCCAGAAAGAGGACGAUGUGUCCUGGGGCUCAUCCCGCCACAAAAGUUCCACCUCCUCCUCGCAUUCCCGCCGCAGAAGUUCCACCUCCUCCUCCUCCUCCCAUUCCUCUGGCCCAGGUGCGGGUGGGGCCGCCUGCAAACGAGGCCUGAUUCCGAGCUCACAGGGGUUCCUUUCGUCAGGGGGAUCCCCUCUGCGCUCUGUCAGAUCUUCUCUAGAAGAAAUGGCUUCUCUCGAGGAAGAAGCCUGCAGCCUUAAGGUUGAUUCCAAAGAUAGCCCUCGUAGCUCCGUGGAUUCUGAAUUGGCAGCGGAAGCGGAGGGUCAAAAUGGUACAAUGGAGGAACCACACAAGGUCCAGAAAAGGCAGAGGGAUAGACUUCGAGACCAGGGCUCCGCCAUGAUCUACCUAAAGGCCAUCCAGGGCAUCCUGGGAAAGUCAAUGCCAAAGAGGAAGGGAGAGGCGGCCCCACGGGCAAAACCCCACAUCGCAGAGCACCCCCGCCGCGGAGAGGGACCAGCCGGGAGUGUCAGUGUGGCUGCUCCUCAGAAAGAGAAAGAGUCCACCCCAGAGGUCAGAGCAGAGGAGGAGGACACUGUGCUGGAGAAGAGCAGCUUCUGUGACAGGAGGGUGGUGAUAGACCCUCAGGAGAGCCCCAGUGAGGAGCCCGUGGGUGGUCGAAGGAUGGUCAUCGAAGAGUGCUCUCCACUCCUGGAGUUUCUGGAUGACUCUGACUCGCAUUUGAAUGGCCAGAAGCCUAAGGACCGGGAGGUGGUGAUGGAGCGCACCUCUUCAGGAAGUGACUGGUCCGACGUGGACGAGAUUUCCACGGCCAGGUUCUCUCAGGAGGAGCCCGUCCCACUAAAACCCUCCACAGUUCCAGAGGCUUCUGCCUUCCCCACGGACUAUGUCAUGUACCCGGCUCACUUGUACAGCAGUCCCUGGUGUGACUACGCCAGCUACUGGGCCAGCGGUCCCAAGACCCCCGGGUACCCGUCCGUGGGCAGUGGCGGCAGCGACACGAUGCAGGCGGGCAGGAGCGGCCGGGGCGCUUCCCCCGCCUCGACGGUGAGCCCCCCGCUCACCUCCAGGGAGCCUGAGGCUGCCAAGGAAGGCAGAUCCCGGAAGUCUCGUUCAUCUCGUUUCUCCAGAAGCUCAGAAGGACACGUGAAGGAGAAAAGAACAUUCCAGGAGGACGUGCUGCCCCGUCCAGGUGAGGAACCUGCGUCUAGCUCCCUGCCCAGGAGCCGUCGGGAGCCCAGGCUGGAGGGUUUCAUCGACACCCAUUGUCACUUGGACAUGCUGUAUUCCAAGCUGUCAUUCAAAGGGACCUUCAGCAAGUUCAGGAAGAUUUACAGCAGCUCCUUCCCUAAGGAGUUUCAGGGCUGCAUCUCUGAUUUCUGCGAUCCUCGCACCCUGACGGAUGGCCUCUGGGAGGACCUGUUGCAGGAGGAUCUGGUGUGGGGUGCCUUUGGCUGUCACCCGCAUUUUGCACGUUACUACAGUGAGAGUCAAGAAAGGAAUCUUCUGCAGGCCUUGAGGCACCCCAAGGCCGUGGCAUUCGGGGAGAUGGGCUUGGAUUACUCUCACAAGUGCACCACGCCUGUCCCAGAGCAGCACAAGGUGUUUGAGAGGCAGCUACAGCUGGCCGUGUCUCUGAGGAAGCCCUUGGUGAUCCACUGCCGGGAAGCUGAUGAAGAUCUGCUGAAAAUCAUGAAAAAACUUGUGCCUCCAGACUACAAGAUUCACAGGCACUGCUUCACCGGCAGCUACCCAGUCAUCGAGCCCCUGCUGGACCACUUUCCCAACAUGUCCGUGGGCUUCACAGCUGUCCUGACCUACUCCUCCGCCUGGGAGGCCCGGGAAGCUCUGAAACAGAUCCCACUGGAGAGGAUCAUCGUAGAGACAGACGCUCCCUAUUUCCUGCCUCGACAGGUUCCCAAGAGCCUUUGCCAGUACGCCCACCCGGGCCUGGCCUUGCACACGGUUCGAGAGAUCGCCAGGGUCAAAGACCUGCCGCUCGCCAGCACCUUGGCCACCCUGCGUGAGAACACCCGCCGCCUCUACAGUCUUUAAGCAGGGAGGGUGCCACCAGGAGUCUCCUAGGAAAGGAUGACCAGCGGCCUGACAGGAGAAAGGCCGCGUGAGCUCUGCCUGUGGGUCCCCGCUCGAGGAUGUUGGAGAGCCAGCUGGGACAGAGGAAACCCGGACAGGGUGUUUCCUGAGACCUCCUCGGAGGCCUCUGCUUCAGGCUGGGGAGGGUGGGGUGGGGUGCAGUGGGUGGGCGAGGGGCUUGGGCUGGCCUCCCAACCGUGGUGCUCCAGGGCGACCCGGGCAGAAGAAGCAGAGGGUGUAAGGGCGCAGCAAACUCACCCACUCCGAGCUUGUCUCUGCGGCUUGGGCGCAAGCAGUCUGUGUGUGAAGUCACACUGCUCCUCGUUUAGUGCGCGUGAGCCAGCGGUGUGGUUCCUGGUUCUCCACUCUAAACACAAAUCCCGAGUGGGAAAUCUCUGGGGGACGUUGGCCGGAGACCUGUCUUGGAGGCUGAUGCUCCUGUGGCCGGUGAAGGAGCCCCUCGCUCCCCUGGAUAACCUUCAGUCUGGCCCACACCGUCGCCAGUGUCGGUUCCGCGUCAGCACGGCAGAAGGACCUCAGCUGCGGUCUCGCUGGUUCCACUGCUGUUGACACAGAGAGGGCCAAGGGGCGUCCAUUGUCCAGGGCAAGUCCUGGCUGAGGGAACCCUGGAUUGAUUGGAAGACCUAAGGAGGAAGCCUAUUUGAGGACAAGGACCCCAGGGAAGGUGUUCUUCCCCCUUUCUAAGGCCCCCAGGGCUGCAGCUCAGUUAGGUUGAACUAACCGCUAAGGGUCCAGUCUGCCGCAGAAACUGUCUGCUAGCCUGCCCGCGGGGCUCUCAGCCCCGCUGGCCUCCACUUUGCCCCCCUCUCCUGCAGCACUGGACCAAAAAUAUUCCUUCUGUUCCAUCUCUCGUAACGGCCCCUUGUGCGCCCCACCCAGGUCGAGAGGUAAACCAGUUUAAUUCUCCAAAGCUCUGCUGGCGCCGCCCAGCCCUGUCCAUUGCCUAUGCAGAACAAGAGGCCUGGUGUCCAUGAAUCUCCCAUUUCCUGGCCUGGGGCUCUCCCUCACCUUGGCCUCCACUGUGUUCUUUCUCCAUGGUGGAAGUCAGAGCCCCUCCUCGGACUCUGAGCAGCCAGGCCGUCUCAAAUUCUGAGCUGUGCUCUGCGCCCUGCUGGUGCCUUGUGAAAGUAUGUUCCAUACAGACCCUGGAAGGUUAUGACAGUCAAAGGUUAAGGGUGAGGACGCUCUUGCACUUGGCACAAAAGGAUCCUUAAUUCCAACUUCCUCAGUGAGACAGGCCACCCUGAGUCCAUUGUUUCUUGGAGACUAGUAGCCGAAACCAUAAGAUCCAUCACUUGUGCUGGACCCCUCUAGGUGUUUGUGGAAGGUGCUUUGGAACCGCAUGAGCUGCAAGGAAAAGGACUUGGCGUUUCGUGUGUGGUAUUUCCUCCUUGUCCGGGGACCUAAGUUGCUGGCCUGGGAAGUGGGCCUUGAUUCACUCUCCACCUUCCAUGGAUCAGCUGUGCGUCAUCUGUGCCUCAGAUCUGGGGAGUCCAGAGCCUUGUUCUCCUGCUUGGAAGAUUUGGAGGACUAAGUGUUUCAGAGUGCUUCAUUGUUCCCCAAAUGAACUGCCGCUUAGCCAUAUCCUUCACGACAAGGCCUGGAAAUCACGACACCAACGAGGGAAACCAGCCGGGCCCACGUGCAGUGAUUGAGCGACAACUCAGUGGAUGUCUCAGAGCCAUCGCAGUCUCCCUGCCAAGUGUUAGCAGUGGUUUGGUUGUUUCCUACCUUUGUACCCUAAGGAUCCAGAGGUCUGGAGACCUUCUCGAAUAUGUCUGUGCUUCAGGAGAAUUCAGCUGGAAGUAAGCAGCUUGGGUAGCUUCUCCAGAUCUCUGCUGCCUCUGAGCAUUUACUCUCAUUUUACUGCCCAGGAACACCCAGAUACACUUCUGCUUCUUAGCCUUGAAAAAUAGACACGUUCCUUGUUGUGACCAAUGAAACAGGAGGGGAAAAAUGGAAGAAAGAAGGGUGUUGUUCAUGACUCCGUUGCACUGUGGGCUCUGGACUGUGAACUUUGGUGCCUCUGGGCAAACGCUGGACGCAGUGAAACAGAACUUGCUCCUGUCUUAAGGUAUCCUUGGACAAAAGUGCUCAAGCCAAAAGUAAGCCUGUCCAAAGGGAGGCUCUGUUCCAAGAACAGUUGAUGAAUUUGGAAUCUGCUAAUGCCUCAUCUGGGACGCACAGUCAUUGGUUUGUGUAUUUCCAGCACAUUCCUCUGUCUCAGCUCCGUCCCAGCUGAGCGCACAGCAGCUGUGUCUGCCUGACACAGAGAUAGUCUCUGUGCGGCUGGAACUCUGCUCUUGGCCUUCCUGGUGUUUUUCACCUUUCCCUGUGUAUUAUUAAGAUUGGGACCAAUAGUAAUCAUUUACUGCAAGCACUUUCAUUUUUGUGUCACUCAUUUCUGUAAAAUCCAGGCAAUGACCACUGUACGGUGCUUGAACACAGUGCCCAGGACGGCAGCAGAACUGGUCAGUGGCCAGGCAGCCCUCUUGCUUGCUGUAUAUGCUCAUUUGUCAGCAGUGUUUGAAAGUGAAUUCAGACCAAAGUGUGGUUGCUAAGCAUGGGUCUCUACUCUGUGUACACUGUCCCAAGGGAAUUUCUUACACCCCUGUAAGUGUGUAAGAAGUUAAACACAUGUGCUGUCAUUCUAAUGUACCAGGCAUAUUAUUUAUAAAACAAUUUUUUCCUAA